rnacentral:rRNA from 1 species
UACGAGGGGGGCAAGCGUUGUUCGGAAUUAUUGGGCGUAAAGGGCGCGUAGGCGGUGCGGUAAGUCACCUGUGAAAACUCUGGGCUCAACUCAGAGCCUGCAGGCGAAACUGCCGUGCUUGAGUGUGGGAGAGGUGCGUGGAAUUCCUGGUGUAGCGGUGAAAUGCGCAGAUAUCAGGAGGAACACCGGUGGCGAAGGCGGGUCUCUGGGCCGAUACUGACGCUGAGGAGCGAAAGCGUGGGGAGCGAACAGG